GACGAACGCUGACGGUGUGCUUUAGACAUGCAAGUCGAGCGAGAAAGCCCUUCGGGGUUAGUAAAGCGGCGAACGGGUGAGUAACACGUGGGCAAUCUGCCCCUCGCAGGGGGACAACCGGGGGAAACUCCGGCUAAUACCCCGUAAGUUUCCAGAGUCGCAUGGCUUUGGAAAGAAAGGUAGCUUCGGCCAUCCGGCGAGGGAUGAGCCCGCGGUACAUUAGCUAGUUGGUGGGGUAACGGCCUACCAAGGCGGCGAUGUAUAGCUGGUCUGAGAGGAUGAUCAGCCACACUGGGACUGAGACACGGCCCAGUACUCCGUACGGGAGGCAGCAGUCGGGAAUCUUGCACAAUGGGCAAAGCCUGAUGCAGCAACACCGUGUGAGCGA
rnacentral:rRNA from 1 species